UACGGGGGGAGCAAGCGUUGUUCGGAUUUACUGGGCGUAAAGGGCGCGUAGGCGGUCAGCACAAGUCAGUUGUGAAAUCUCCGGGCUUAACUCGGAAAGGUCAACUGAUACUGUGCGACCAGAGUGCAGAGGGGCAACUGGAAUUCUCGGUGUAGCGGUGAAAUGCGUAGAUAUCGAGAGGAACACCUGCGGCGAAGGCGGGUUGCUGGGCUGACACUGACGCUGAUGCGCGAAAGCCAGGGGAGCGAACGGG
rnacentral:rRNA from 1 species